rnacentral:rRNA from 1 species
ACGCAAGUCUGAACCAGCCAUGCCGCGUGAAGGAUGACUGCCCUAUGGGUUGUAAACUUCUUUUAUAUAGGAAGAAACCUCUCUACGUGUAGAGAGCUGACGGUNCUAUACGAAUAAGGACCGGCUAACUCCGUGCCAGCAGCCGCGGUAAUACGGAGGGUCCAAGCGUUAUCCGGAUUUAUUGGGUUUAAGGGGUCCGUAGGCGGGGUUUUAAGUCAGUGGUGAAAGCCUGCAGCUCAACUGUAGAACUGCCAUUGAAACUGGAACUCUUGAAUGUGAUUGAGGUAGGCGGAAUAUGUCAUGUAGCGGUGAAAUGCUUAGAUAUGACAUAGAACACCGAUAGCGAAGGCAGCUUACCAAGUCAUUAUUGACGCUGAUGGACGAAAGCGUGGGGAGCGAACAGGAUUAGAUACCCUGGUAGUCCACGCCGUAAACGAUGAUCACUAGCUAUUGGCGAUACACUGUCAGUGGCACAGCGAAAGUGUUAAGUGAU